CAAUAAGCAAAAUAAGGGCGUAUGGGGAAUGCCUAGGCUCUCAGAGGCGAUGAAGGACGUGAUAAGCUGCGAAAAGCUGCGGGGACUGGCACACACAGAUUGAUCCGCAGGUAUCCGAAUGGGGCAACCCGCUAUAUUGAAGAUAUAGCACACCGAUAGGUGGGCAAACCCGCUGAACUGAAACAUCUAAGUAGGCGGAGGAGAAGAAAACAAAAGUGAUUCCGUAAGUAGUGGCGAGCGAACGCGGAUUAGCCCAAACCAGUGCUGUUACGGCAGUGCUGGGGUUGUAGGACCACGACAUUUUAUGCAUGCAGAACCGGAAGUUACUGGAAAGUGACGCCAUAGAGGGUGAUAGCCCCGUAUGGGUAAUAAAUGUAAUAGAUAGUGGUAUCCUGAGUAGGGCGGGGCACGUGAAACCCUGUCUGAAUUUGGCGGGACCAUCCGCUAAGGCUAAAUACUCCUGAGAGACCGAUAGUGAACCAGUACCGUGAGGGAAAGGUGAAAAGAACCGUGAAUAACGGAGUGAAAUAGAU
rnacentral:ncRNA from 1 species